UACCAGACCCAGCCAAUACCAAAUAUGUGGCGCUGUGCAGUGUGCUCUUCUGUACUGGUGACAAAGAUCUCGCUCCUAUUUUUUUUAUACAGGUGCUAGGAGAGCUAGAGCUUCUGCCUCAUAUCUGAUACUAAAUAACAAAACAAUCCAUCCAAUUCAUUUUUCUAUAAACACCAGUUUACAGUGACUCAAACUUUUUACUUCCAAAAAUAUCUACAUUCUUCCUAAUGUCUAUUGCCAGGCACCGGUGUCCCUAUCAUUCCGCCCAUAGUCACUUAAGAUUAAUUCAUUCUAAGAUCAGCUGUAAAAUAAUCUGUUAAACCCAUCUCAGAAAUGACCCAGCAAAGGAAAUUGAGAAUUAUUCCUGGGAUCCUGCGACACAUUGCAGACAUGGGCUGCGGGCCGUCCACGGAUGCUGUUGCAAGAGAACAUAGAGAACGAGACUGGAAUGACAGUGAAGGCAGGCCUCCAACGCAGACCACUCAUGUAUGUAAUGAACCAGGAGGGGAUGACAUGCAGGAAGAAGUAUCUAGAUCAAAAUGAAACUUGAUUUAAAUGGUAAAAUAUCUGAAGAGUGGAAAAAGAUGAAGCCAAAUGGACUGGAGUUUCAUGGACUGGAGUUUCAUUUGUUUCCUGUGGUUUGUCGUGUUCCUUUGAGAUUUACAGAUACAUUUUUUAUGCUUGAAGAAUAACCACAAU